CGGGUCGGUUGCGCAUGCAAGUCGAGCGGACAGAUGGGAGCUUGUCUCCCUGUAUGUUAGCGGCGGACGGGUGAGUAACACGUGGGUAACCUGCCUGUAAGACUGGGAUAACUCCGGGAAACCGGGGCUAAUACCGGAUGGUUGUUUGAACCGCAUGGUUCAGACAUAAAAGGUGGCUUCGGCUACCACUUACAGAUGGACCCGCGGCGCAUUAGCUAGUUGGUGAGGUAACGGCUCACCAAGGCAUCGAUGCGUAGCCGACCUGAAAGGGUGAUCGGCCACACUGGGACUGACACACGGCCCACACUCCUACGGGAGGCAGGAGUAGGGAAUCUUCCGCAAUGGACGAAUGUCUGACGGAGCAACGCCGCGUGAGUGAUGACGGUUUUCGGAUCGUACAGCUCUGUUGUUAAGGAAGAA
rnacentral:rRNA from 1 species